ensembl:lncRNA
AUGGUCGCAGGGCCAGCGCCACGAGGCAAGAUGGACGCCAGCCCAGCGCCACAGCACAAGGUGGUCGCCAGCCCCACGCCACGAGGCCAGAUGGCCGCCAGCCCAGCACCACUGCCCAAGAUGGCCGCGGAGACAUUUUUGGAUUACUUCUCCAUGUUGAACAAGAUCCUAGAGCUCCCCAGGAGUGUUCACGUCACGGCUGCUGAGCCAGCGCCACAGCACAGGAUGGCCGCUAACCCAGCGCCAAUGCCCAAGAUGGCCACCAGCCCAGCACCACAGCACAAGAUGGCCGCCAGCCCAGCGCCAUUGCACAAGAUGGCCGCCAUCCCAGAGCCACUGCACAAGAUGGCCGCCAUUCCAGUGCCACAGCACAGGAUGGCCGCCAGCCCAGCGCCACUGCACAAGAUGGCCGCCAGCCCAGCGCCAUUGCACAAGAUGGUCGCCAGCCCAGUACCACAGCACAAGAUGGUCGCCAGCCCGGUGCCCCAGCACAAGAUGGCCGCCAGCCCAGCACCACAGCACGAGAUGGCCGAAUCCACACCUGUGUCGCCAGACAAGAGGGCCGACUCAAUGCCUGAGUCUCCGGACAAGGUACCGCCGACUCGCUGUCAUAGAGGGCGGAGGAGGAGACAGGCAUCGGCCGUUCCUCAAGGCCCGGAGGCCAUUCCCAAGCAGGCCGCUGCCGUCCCGGAGGCCAUUCCCGAGCAGCCCGCUGCCGUCCCGGAGGAGGCGCCUGAGCAGCCCGCUGUCGUCCCGGAGGCGGCGCCCGAGCAGCCCGCUGUCGUCCCAGAGGCGGCGCCCGAGCAGCCCACUGCCGUCCCGGAGGCCGUUUCCGAGCAGGCCGAUGCGGUUCCGGAGGCCGAGGCGAUGCCCGAUGCUAUUCCGGAGGCCGAGGCGGUGUCCGAUGCGGUGCCCGAGACGGUUCCCGAGGCCGAGGCGGUGCCCGAUGCUGUUCCGGAGGCCGAGGCGGCGGCCGAUGCUGUUCCGGAGGCCGAGGCGGUGCCCGAUGCCGUUCCGGAGGCCGAGGCCGUGGCCGAUGCCGAGGCGGUGCCCGAGAUGGUUCCGGAGGCCGAGGCGGUGCCCGAUGCUGUUCCGGAGGCCGAGGCGGUGCCCGAUGUUGUUGUGGAGCCCGAGGCCGUGACCGAGGUCGUUCCCGAUGCCAUUCCCGAGGCCGUUCCAGAGGCAGUGCCCGAUGCCGGGACCGAGGCCGUUCCCGAUGCGAGUCCCGAUGCCGUGACCGAGGCCGUUCCAGAGGUGCCCGAAGCAGAGGUGCCUCACGUCUCCACAGGCCGUCCAGAGCACCUUCACGUCUCCACAGGCCGUCCAGCGCCCCUUCACGUCUCCACAGGCCGUCCAGAGCACCUUCACGUCUCCACAGGCCGUCCAGAGCGCCUUCACGUCUCCACAGGCCUUCCAGAAUGCCUUCACGUCGUCACAGGGCCUCCGGAGGGGCAGGUUCCACUCUGGCUGCUCAAAUGGCGGGUUCCUCCCUGGCCGUCGGCACAACCUGAACUGCCUGGUCCCUCGUGGCCUCCUGAACUGACUGAUCCACCUUGGCUGCCAGUGGAGCCAUCGCUGCCUGUUCCUGUUCCCCUACACGGGCCUGGCCCUCCAUCCCUCCCCCUGUUCUACCUCCACCAGUCCACCUCCCUCCUGGUCUUCUGGUUGGGUUGUUGUUGUUUUGGGUUUUUUUUUCCUCCACUUCCUGUCCCUGAAGUCUUGGAGUGUCUGCUAGCCACUCCGUAG